AUGCACUUACAGUGGUGCAAGCCAUACUCUGGGAUCACGGAUCCCCUGAUCAUGGAGGGUCUCUCCCUACGUGAUGGUGUCCGUUUUGCUACUCUUCGAGGUUUCUCCCAUGUGAUAAUGGAAGUAGACUGCUUGGAGUUGGUGACACUAUGGAAUUCUCGCCACAAUUCUUGUUCUUUUGUGGCCUACUUAUUAGAUGGGAUAGGAGAGCUUAGUACUUAUUUUACAUCUUUUGAUAUUCGCCAUGUAAGUAGAUCAGCUAAUCUUCCUGCGCAUCUAUGUGCGAAGCGUGCUUGUGCACUGGAUGUAGCAGAUAGCUGGAUGGAUGAAACCCCAAGCUUCUUGUUGACCAGCUUAUUGGCUGACUCAUCCAAGAAUGCUUUUCGAUGA
rnacentral:rRNA from 1 species